rnacentral:rRNA from 1 species
UACAGAGGGUGCGAGCGUUAAUCGGAAUUACUGGGCGUAAAGCGCGCGUAGGCGGCUUUGCAAGUCGGGUGUGAAAUCCCCAGGCCUAACCUGGGAACUGCAUUCGAGACUGCAUGGCUAGAGUAUCGGAGAGGGAAGUGGAAUUUCAAGUGUAGCGGUGAAAUGCGUAGAUAUCUGAAGGAACAUCAGUGGCGAAAGCGACUUCCUGGACGAAUACUGACGCUCAUGUGCGAAAGCGUGGGGAGCAAACAGG